UACGUAGGGAGCGAGCGUUGUCCGGAUUUAUUGGGCGUAAAGAGCGCGUAGGCGGCUUGGUAAGCCGGAUGUGAAACCUCCAAGCUUAACUUGGAGCGGCCAUUCGGCACUGCCAUGGCUAGAGUCUGGUAGGGGAACACGGAAUACCUGGUGUAGCGGUGAAAUGCUUAGAUAUCAGGUGGAACACCAGUGGCGAAGGCGGUGUUCUGGGCCAGUACUGACGCUGAGACGCGAAAGCGUGGGGAGCAAACAGG
rnacentral:rRNA from 1 species